UCAUCAUCAUCAUCGCUGCUAAAGCUCCCCAGGUAAGGUGGUGCGAAUCCCUCUAAUCCUGAAUAACUGGACCACAGCUGUCGCUCCCCUGCUUGCUUUCGUUACCCAGAAUGGAGCUGCCCCGGGUUGUUCUGCCAUAUCAUCUGACUGACUGAAACUUCCAAAUAUUAACCUGUUGCUUUGUGUCCUAAAGGAAAGAACUGCUCAGCAUUCACAUGUCCUCUUUGAGACAUGACCUGUCAGACUUCCUAGUCAUACAGUAGAUGAGAGUGCAAAAAAAGAAUUAUUAUGAAGCUGUUGUGCAAAUCCUGUCACAUCUUCUGAUUUUCAGUCCUUGGUGUCUAUAGCGCAGUUCAGAACAUUCCUGACAAGUUACAUUCAAUUGAUUCUUCAAGAGCCACAGCCUACAUACCAGAAUCAUCUCACCAAUGAAAUGCAGCCAUUUCUGGGUUGCUCAGUGGAGUCCAGAUGUUGGGAAACAAGCUGCAUCAGAAAGCAGGCAAAAGCUUGAACAGGAAUGUAAAAGGAAUCACACACACACACACACACACACACACACACCACCAACAUUAUACAAAACUGUGUGUGUGUGUAUUUGUCUUAAUGUGCAUGUAGCAAAACCAGAAUAAUAGUUUGUUGCAUCUGCUUCUUAAGUCAUCCAAUGGGCAUUCUUCAUACUUUUAUCUAUAUAUUUAAAUAUCCAGAAGCUAGAUACAUCUAGUAAAUCUUCAAUUAUCUCUGGCAUGUGUGCAGAAUUGCCUUCCUCCCCACUCCCCAAAAAGACCAUUCUUCAUGGGUGUCAGCAUAUAUACACAGGGAAACAAUUUAGGACAACAUUUUUUUUUACAGGAAACAUUUGUGGAAAACUGAGUCAUCUCCAAAAUUCUAUCAUAUUUUCCCACAAUAGAACAUGAACUUAACUGAAUUACCAUCUUAAGAAAUUAUUCGUACCGUUGAACCAACAUAAGAAAAUCUGCCAUGACAAAGAUUUAUAGUUCCUAUACUACUUUACUCACACAGGUGCAAAUGCCUAUCUUUUCAUACAUCAUAAUAUUUAAUAUUUCUUUUUAAAUCAUAUUGCUUUUACAAGCUUCAGAAAAACCAAACUUAAGGAGCUGUUCUUCUGUGACCAAUUUAAUCGCAAAUCUUCAACUUUAUUUCCAAAGAAAUAUGUCAGGAUCUUAAGUAAUUAAACUGAAGUUUUGUGAAUUCCCUUGGAAACUGCAGGCAUUUAUGCAGGUGCUCACAUGCGUACAUACUAUAUUUUAUAAAUAGGGAGACAGUAUGACUGAAAUUUUUUUAAAU